AAAUUUUAUUUAUAUAAUAUAAUUAUUAUAUUUGACUUCCAAUCAAAAAAUCUAGUUAAACUAGUAUAAAUA
rnacentral:tRNA from 1 species